UCCAGCAGUAGUCAGAUGUCCAGACAGACUCACUCCUGCGGUGGCGCUGUGCUUCCGGGAGAGGAAUAUCCUGUCUUCUUCUUCUAGUUGCCUCCGUCACUGUUCUGGUGGCAUCAGGCACUGGUGCAAGGCAGAACUGUGCUUCCUUCAGAGUGUACUAAGCAUUCAUUUUGGCUGUUUAGUUCUAGUGUGGGAGCAGACCCA